CCUAAACCAAUCUGCUUUGUUUCUGUGGUCAUAGAAGAUCCCCAAGCUUCACUGGAAUUGCCAAAGGAACUUAGUGAGCUUCAGCAAAUAUCAGAUGCUUUUUGCUUGGCAGCUGGCCUCAUCCCAACCAAGUCAGGAGAAAAAAUUCAUGAUGAUUUCAGCUGGCCAAAAGGUCAGGAGGCUGAGGAUGGAUAUCUGGAUCCUGCAGCACUCUGGGGAGAGCAGGGAGCAGCAGCCUCUCCAAGAAGCCUCUAAAGUACCACAUUCCCAUCUCUUGAAACCACUACUGCAAUUAUCCUGCCUGCCAGCAUCCUUGGAGGUAGAUACCAAAGGCACAGGAAUAAAUUACAGAUCUAGGCCUUCCCCUUUGCUCUGUCUUUAUGAACUGGUUGAUAGCAAGAAAUCACCUCCUGAGUAA
rnacentral:lncRNA from 1 species